CAGCCGCCACGGUAAUACGGAGGGUGCAAGCGUUAAUCGGAAUUACUGGGCGUAAAGCGCACGCAGGCGGUCUGACAAGUCAGAUGUGAAAUCCCCGGGCUUAACCUGGGAACUGCAUUUGAAACCGUCAGGCUGGAGUCUUGUAGAGGGGGGUAGAAUUCCAGGUGUAGCGGUGAAAUGCGUAGAGAUCUGGAGGAAUACCGGUGGCGAAGGCGGCCCCCUGGACAAAGACUGACGCUCAGGUGCGAAAGCGUGGGGAGCAAACAGGAUUAGAUACCCCUGUAGUCCCUGUCUCUUAUAC
rnacentral:rRNA from 1 species